rnacentral:rRNA from 1 species
UACGAAGGGGGCUAGCGUUGCUCGGAUUGACUGGGCGUAAAGGGCGCGUAGGCGGUUCGUACAGUCAGACGUGAAAUUCCUGGGCUCAACCUGGGGGCUGCGUUUGAUACGUGCGGACUUGAGUGCGGAAGAGGGUUGUGGAAUUCCCAGUGUAGAGGUGAAAUUCGUAGAUAUUGGGAAGAACACCGGUGGCGAAGGCGGCGACCUGGUCCGAUACUGACGCUGAGGCGCGAAAGCGUGGGGAGCAAACAGGAUUAGAUAACCCCG